GCCAAACCACAGAGGAAGUAGCUCACUCAAGGCGUCAUAUCUGCUUUCUGACUCCCUCCACUAGAAUGCAUACUCCACAAGGGGAGGAAUUUUGCCUGUUUCCUCGUUACCCCCAGCCCUGGAAGAGUGACUCGUAGACAGGAGGCCUCAUGGAAUCCAAAGACGAAUACAUGAAGAUCUCAUUCAUUCAUGUAUUUGGGAGACACUGACAUUAGCAAAGGAUGAGCCUCCCUCACCCUCCCUUUGUACAAGCAGCUCAAGGAGGAGGGACAAUAAGACCCCAAUGACAAGUUUGAAAGUGGUCUUGCAGUCAGGCACAGAGGAUGAAAGAAUACUAGAAAACAGUGCCAUGACUGCUACGCCACUGGAAAAGCCCGGCUGGAGACAAGAAAAGAUCUUUAAGCCUGGUCCAGCCAGGGAAAGACAGGCAACGAAUUGCAGAGACAGAACCUUUCCUCCUCUCCACCCCAAGAUGCUGCCUCCUGUUUCCUGAGAAAGAAGAGGGCAGGCCUGCUCGUGUUAUCCUGGGACUCAGCAGGGCAGCCUACAGGAUAGUUAAGGACCAAACAAUACACUCCCUCUUGGUGUAUAUGCAAUUUCCUUGCAUAUUUUGGAAUAUAUUACAAUAAUGUGCAAGUACUAUUUUUGGAAUGCAAUCGUUUGAACUGCCCGCCAGCGAUUUGCCUGUAAGGCUGGCAGCAUCGAGCAGAGGGAAGGUUCUGCAGUAAAGGGAACGACACUGCUUUCCCUGGAUGCUCCACAACGUGCUGCCUGGCACAGGAGGUUUUCAACUCACUGGUUUGUUUGAAAUCUACAUAAAAUCCUCACUGGGAAGCAUCUGUUAAAAUCUCAGGAAAACCCUCAAGUAAAGGACAGGACAUCACCAUCAACAAAAAUGAGAAAGUGACGGGUCUUGGAAAAGCCAUGCUGAGCUCUCUAUAAGCCGUGUGCUUUAUCUGAAUGAAAGCAACCAGUGUAACGCCUGACGGUACCACCAAGAUUGAAGGAGGAGCCAGGCUGGGAAACGUGUGACACUGAAUUGGUGUGACACUUUGUGUGCUAGAAUUCCUGGAAGGGAGACUCUGCUGGUGGGCAAAACUGAAGUGCUCAAUGCUCAUUUGGGUAUUAUCGGUCUAUUCAACGUAUCCGCAUUUUAAAAAAACAGAUUCUGUUUAUUCUGAUAACCUGUUUUAUAUGAAUUUUACUGUGAUGUAGAAAAAGAAUGUAUCCUUCAACGUAUCUGGAAAAUACCUACUCUCUUCAAUCUUUUCUCAUGAAAAAUUUCAUUUUAAUUUUCACGUAAUGCCUGCCUCCCUCCCCCCUCCCCCCUUCGCCCACACAAACACACACAUUCACACACUUUUUCAAGUUGCCAAAUAGAUGUUUAAGGCUUAGAGUCUUGGGUAAGUCUUUAAGUGGUAGCAAACAUAUUCAUCACCCAGCCUAUGCUCCAUGUCACAGAUCUGACCACCGGUCUGUUUUUGUAAAUAACAUUCUGCUAAAACACAACCAUAUCCUCUCGCUCACCUAUUGUCUACUGUCCAUGGCUGCUUUCCUUGCAAUGGCAGAGUUGAGUAGUCGAGAGAGAGACUGUACAGCUUGCAAAGCUUAAGAUACCUGUUUCCUACCCUUUUACAAAAAAAAAAAAAAAAGUUGGUAGACUCCUAAUCUAGCAGAUGCAAAUUUCUGAUACAAAGUCUGUAGUUAAGUGUACUCUUAAACUGGCCCAUUCUUCUAGGAUCGCCUGAAUAAUGGUAUAUAUAACAAACUGUUGUUCAAAGAUGGUGAUGUGGUUCUGUGACUGUCAUUCUGAUGGUUACCAUUUCCCCAAGCCUGCUAACUUCUGUUAGAUAUAACUUACUCUGUAAAACAGGAUUGUGAAACAGUGUAGAUAGCUCAGGGUGAGAGCCCACAGCAAGACACUGCCUACAAUAUGAAACCCACUGGAAGUGAGGAGCCUAAUAAAAUCAGGGGAAGGGUUAUAACUGAGUCUCCUUAAGUGCAUAUAUUUCACAGCUGUGGUGCUAAAAGACAGAUUGCUUGGAAUGCCACGGGUAGGCGAAGCCAAACAAAAAUGAGAGCAUGAGGAUUCCUUGCAAAUUUGAAAUAUUUUCCCUUUUAUGCUAUAUUCGUUUUUUCUUUUUCCCCUUUUGAAAUCGAGUGGCUUCAUCCUCUGCCGAAUGUGUUUUCCCCCUUUUGAUUUCUGUAGCAGAUGAAAAUUAAUUCCUUCACCUGGUUCACACAGACAAUUUCUACAGGCAUAGAGUGCAGCUUAAAAGAAAUUGAAAUGGAUUGAUUUUUGUAGGAGAUGAACAUGGUAAAACUACCAAACUGAAAUUAAAAAAAAAUUUUUUUUGUAUUUUUUUUGCAAUAGAAAGUAAAGGCAUAGAUAAGCAAAGCGGUUUUAAGGCAACACUCAAGGUCUCCCUCCACGGACUGUAUUAUGUGUUUCUCUCCACCCCAGGGGUGAGUGCCAUACUUGGCCAUUUAGUUGUACUGUGAUCUGGAACAAGUCACUUCUCCUUGGGGGUGGGGGUUGUCAGUCACAACUGUCAACAAGAGUAGGAACUGCUGUCUACAGGGCUCUUGAGAGUACAGAAGGGGACUGAACUGUAAGGUUCUGUGAACUGCUGGGGAGCCUGUGUCAGUGGGAGGUGUUAUUAUCGUUCACCUUUGUCGGCAAAACCUCGGGAGGAUUGGGGGUAGGAAGGGAUAACCUUGGGAGUCUGAGAUUUGUAAAUGUUAGCCACUAUAUAUAAAAACAGAUUAAAAAAUUUGUCUGUAGCACAGGGAACUAUAUUCAAUAUCUUGUAAUAACCUUUAAUGAAAAAGAAUAUGAAAACAAAUAUAUAUAUAUGUACAUGUAUGACUGGGACACUGUGCUGUGCACUAGAAAUUAACACAUUGUAACUGACUAUGCUUUAAUCUAAAAAAAAAAGUAAGUAUUAAAAGCAAAGCCAAAAAAAAAAAAAAAAAGAACAAACC